CCUACGGGUGGCAGCAGUCGAGAAUCAUUCACAAUGGGGGAAACCCUGAUGGUGCGACGCCGCGUGGGGGAAUGAAGGUCUUCGGAUUGUAAACCCCUGUCAUGUGGGAGCAAAUUAAAAAGAUAGUACCACAAGAAGAAGAGCCGGCUAACUCUGUGCCAGCAGCCGCGGUAAUACAGAGGUCUCAAGCGUUGUUCGGAAUCACUGGGCGUAAAGGGUGCGUAGGCUGUUUCGUAAGUCGGGUGUGAAAGGCGCGGGCUCAACCCGCGGACGGCACAUGAUACUGCGAGACUAGAGUAAUGGAGGGGGAACCGGAAUUCUCGGUGUAGCAGUGAAAUGCGUAGAGAUCGAGAGGAACACUCGUGGCGAAGGCGGGUUCCUGGACAUUAACUGACGCUGAGGCACGAAGGCCAGGGGAGCGAAAGGGAUUAGAUACCCCUGUAGUC
rnacentral:rRNA from 1 species